AAAAAGGUAAGCUAAAUUUAAGCUACUGGGUUCAUACCCCAUUUAUAAAGGUUUCUUUCCUUUUUA